rnacentral:rRNA from 1 species
AUGAGGCUGACCUCAACAAAUCUAUCCAUCUCCAGCAGAGAAGCAUUGCGGAAUUUUGCUGACUGGCUUUUACGUGUUGGAAAUGGCACUGAACCUUCUGUUCCUGUUCCAAAUGAACCCAACAACACAUUUAUAGAGAUCCCCCAAUAUCUCCUUUUGAACCCAGAUUCUAGGAAUAUAGAUGGAUUGAUAUCGUUUGUGUACAACUCAGGUUGUCAAUCAGCUAACAACACAUCAUAUUUGUGUGAGCGUGCUAUUCUUGCACCUACCAAUGAUGUUGUUUCUAAAAUAAAUGACAAAAUGAUCGCUCAGCUAACAACGAGUGAAAUGGCAUAUUAUAGUGCAGAUUCAAUUGAUGAUAGUUGUCCUAAUCAAUCUACUCUAGAAGCAUUAUAUCCAACAGAGUUCCUAAACAAAAUUGAAAUACCGGGACUUCCAGACCAUGCAUUACAUUUGAAAAUUGGUGUACCUAUCAUGCUUCUGCGUAAUCUUGAUCCAUCAAGGGGACUAUGUAAUGGUACUAGACUCAUUGUUACACAACUAACUGGCUGUGUCAUAGAUGGACAAAUCAUAACAGGAAAAGCUAUAGGUUCAAAGGUAUAUAUUCCUUGGAUUGUCACUACGUCAGCUCAAUCUAAGUGGCCUUUCAAAUUGAGGCGUCGCCAGUUUCCUAUUCGCCUCUCAUACGCUAUGACAAUAAACAAAAGUCAAGGGCAAACACUAAACCGAGUUGGUGUCUACUUACCAUCUCCUGUCUUCUCCCAUGGCCAAUUAUAUGUAGCAUUUUCAAGGGUUACAUCACCAGAUGGUUUGCGGGUUCUGAUUGAAAAUAGCCCUGUUUCUUAUGAGCACUGCAUGCAUAAUGUAGUGUAUGCAGAAGUUUUUAGUCAAAUUAAUAGGCGCAGAAGCUAA